rnacentral:rRNA from 1 species
UACGUAGGGUGCAAGCGUUAAUCGGAAUUACUGGGCGUAAAGCGUGCGCAGGCGGUUGUGCAAGACAGAUGUGAAAUCCCCGGGCUCAACCUGGGAACUGCAUUUGUGACUGCACAGCUUGAGUGCGGCAGAGGGGGAUGGAAUUCCGCGUGUAGCAGUGAAGUGCGUAGAUAUGCGGAGGAACACCGAUGGCGAAGGCAAUCCCCUGGGCCUGCACUGACGCUCAUGCACGAAAGCGUGGGGAGCAAACAGG